rnacentral:rRNA from 1 species
GACGAACGCUGGCGGCGUGCCUAACACAUGCAAGUCGAGCGAGCGGAGUUCUUCGGAACAAAGCUAGCGGCGGACGGGUGAGUAACACGUGGGCAACCUGCCUCAUAGAGGGGAAUAGCCUCCCGAAAGGGAGAUUAAUACCGCAUAAGAUUGUAGCUUCGCAUGAAGUAGCAAUUAAAGGAGCAAUCCGCUAUGAGAUGGGCCCGCGGCGCAUUAGCUAGUUGGUGAGGUAACGGCUCACCAAGGCGACGAUGCGUAGCCGACCUGAGAGGGUGAUCGGCCACAUUGGGACUGAGACACGGCCCAGACUCCUACGGGAGGCAGCAGUGGGGAAUAUUGCACAAUGGGCGAAAGCCUGAUGCAGCAACGCCGCGUGAGCGAUGAAGGCCUUCGGGUCGUAAAGCUCUGUCCUCAAGGAAGAUAAUGACGGUACUUGAGGAGGAAGCCCCGGCUAACUACGUGCCAGCAGCCGCCGUAA